CCCUUAGAUGUUCUGGGCCGCACGCGCGCUACACUGAUGCAUUCAACGAGUUUCUUCCUGGUCCGAGAGGAAUGGGUAACCUUUUGAAAGUGCAUCGUGAUAGGGAUAGACUAUUGCAAUUAUUGGUCUUCAACGAGGAGUUCCUAGUAGACGUAGUUCAUCAGACUGCAUCGAUUACGUCCCUGCCCUUUGUACACACCGCCCGUCGCUCCUACCGAUUGAAUGCUCAGGUGAGCCAUUCGGACUUUCAUCAUGCUGGUUUCCAGUUUUGAUGAAGGAAAGUCUUGCGAACCUUAUCAUUUAGAGGAAGGAGAAGUCGUAACA
rnacentral:rRNA from 1 species